CUCCAGUCAGAGGAGAGCAGUCAGGAGAAGAGCAAACCUAGCGGGUUCAGCUGGCUGUGGACCGCAAACUGCUCACAUCUGACCCGCUUUUUGGUCUCGUUGGAUAUGUUUUCUCUGUUAUAAUGAUCAGAGACAUUUGCACGGUUCCCGUUAAAGGGACAGAGUCAAAAGGUCGACCCGCACAUUCGCUUGUUUGACGGGGAAGCUAAGGUUAGCGGUGUUUUACUAGCCCGCUAACGACUCACUUGGACUGUAUAGUGCCUUACAGCCGUAUUAGCUUGCUGUGCUAACGUGCUAGCUCCUGGUACUUGGGUGAUAACACCGAUCACUGCUCGUGGGAACCCCUUUAACGAAGAAGGAGCGCAUACCAAUUUGGAACAUUUAGCAUUAGCAUCACCAUCCUCCUGGAUGCGCAACCUGAAGCGAGUCACCUGAAAGGCCUGGUGCAUUUGUGGAACAACAGAAGCCAAAGGAGGAGCGUUCGGGGGGAACGCUGAGAGGAGGACAGCAGUUGCGGCCUGAGCAGGGACACGCGCAGGGAGAACUCAUGUCAAGCCCUUCUCCUCCUCGGACAGCCUAGCGAAGGUGCAGGAGGUAGCAAGCUGGCUUUUGGAGAUGAACCAGGAACUGCUGUCGGGGGACAGCAGCAGCAGGCAGAGUCGCAGAGUGGGGGCCCCAGGGGCCCCGGGGGGGCGAGGUAACGCCUCCUCCACGGCCAGGGCUCCCCAGCAGGCAGGGGUCGAUGAGGGAGAUGAGGAUGAGCACAUGAACAGAGUGGAGCUGGAGGAGCAGAGGCCUGCGGCGUCCCAAGUCGACAGUGAGAGAGAACAACCAUGGUCCUCCAACGAAUCUGGCACCAACGGCCCUCGCCCGGAGCCCGAGCAGAGAGAAGAGGAGCGGGCCAGCGAGGUGAACGGGCGUCCCAAAGGAACAGGCCGCUGGUCCUGGAACCCCCAACAGAGGAGACUCAGGGGGCAAGCGCUACCAGAGGAGGAAGAGGAGGAGGAGAACAAUAACUCCAGUCACCUGGAGGAGGAGGAGAGGACCGAGGGUGGGGAGGAGGAGCAGGGGAGAGAAGAAGAGGAGCGAGAGGAGGAGGAAGAGGAGGAUGAAGAGGACAUGGACCAGGACAGUGAUGACUUUGAGCAUUCAGCUGAGAGCGGCCGGGAGGAGGAAGAGGAGGAGGAAGGCCCACCAUCGCCCUCCAUAAGGACCAGUGUGUCUGCUCCCAACAGCCUGGACU
ensembl:lncRNA